rnacentral:rRNA from 1 species
GAUGAACGCUGGCGGCGUGCCUAAUACAUGCAAGUCGAGCGAACAGAUAAGGAGCUUGCUCCUUUGACGUUAGCGGCGGACGGGUGAGUAACACGUGGGUAACCUACCUAUAAGACUGGGAUAACUUCGGGAAACCGGAGCUAAUACCGGAUAACAUUUGGAACCGCAUGGUUCUAAAGUGAAAGAUGGUUUUGCUAUCACUUAUAGAUGGACCCGCGCCGUAUUAGCUAGUUGGUAAGGUAACGGCUUACCAAGGCAACGAUACGUAGCCGACCUGAGAGGGUGAUCGGCCACACUGGAACUGAGACACGGUCCAGACUCCUACGGGAGGCAGCAGUAGGGAAUCUUCCGCAAUGGGCGAAAGCCUGACGGAGCAACGCCGCGUGAGUGAUGAAGGGUUUCGGCUCGCAAAACUCUGUUAUUAGGGAAGAACAAAUGUGUAAGUAACUGUGCACGUCUUGACGGUACCUAAUCAGAAAGCCACGGCUAACUACGUG